CGUUGCCAAUGGCACAAUUCAGACAGUGCUUGGUGUUUUUGAAGCACCAGAGGACUGUGUGGAAGGCCAGCAGGUUCAGAUUGUUAUUCGCUAUGA
rnacentral:tRNA from 1 species